rnacentral:tRNA from 1 species
CUUUAGGGAGCUGUAACCUUAGCGUUAGCCUUUUAAGCUAAAGAAAAUAUUUAUUAUUUCUAAAGA